CCUUCCCUUCUUUUAAGAUUACUAUUCCUAAAGAUCCUACCCUUUUCUAUGCCUAAAAUGCUCUUUGAUGCCAUUCUUAAAUACCUAGCCUACCAGACCCCUUUCACAUUAACUAAAAUUAACUAGAAUUAUCUAACCGUGUGGCUUAUUCAGCUAUAAUCCAACCAGGUUCACCUCUAAUGCAAAAUAUUUAAACUGAUUCAUACUACCAAUUAAUACUAAUGCACACUCUACCAAUCCAAUAAUCAAACGAAAGUAAUUAUCAACAUGAGAAUCUAUUAGGCUAACAACUAAUACGGAAUCAUCAACCCAUAAGUAAGAAAUAAACAGAAAAGAGAAAAACAGAACAAACAGGUCUAGAAAAAUCAAAACUAGAAUCAAACAUGAACUAAGCUAACAUUUAUACCACUGCGUUCAAACUAAUAACUCCUAUUAUUUAUGAAUGACACUAUAGUCUAGUCAAUAAACCGCUAAUCCAACUUACUAACUAAACUAACUAUAAAUCAAGGCCUAAACCCUACUUAUAAUUUGAAAUGAGCUGUACUACACUAAGGAAUAAAACAAAAUCAAACUAAUAUAAUAGGGUUAAACUCAAACAGGAAUGAAAUCGGAGUUAACUACGAAUGGCUAAUAGAAAUCCAAAUUGAACGGAGAAAAAAACAAAAAAAUUAAACUAUA
rnacentral:lncRNA from 1 species